rnacentral:rRNA from 1 species
GAUGAACGCUGGCGGCGUGCCUAAUACAUGCAAGUCGAGCGAACGGACGUGAAGCUUGCUUCUCUGAUGUUAGCGGCGGACGGGUGAGUAACACGUGGAUAACCUACCUAUAAGACUGGGAUAACUUCGGGAAACCGGAGCUAAUACCGGAUAAUAUUUUGAACCGCAUGGUUCAAAAGUGAAAGACGGUCUUGCUGUCACUUAUAGAUGGAUCCGCGCUGCAUUAGCUAGUUGGUAAGGUAACGGCUUACCAAGGCAACGAUGCAUAGCCGACCUGAGAGGGUGAUCGGCCACACUGGAACUGAGCCACGGUCCAGACUCCUACGGGAGGCAGCAGUAGGGAAUCUUCCGCAAUGGGCGAAAGCCUGACGGAGCAACGCCGCGUGAGUGAUGAAGGUCUUCGGAUCGUAAAACUCUGUUAUUAGGGAAGAACAUAUGUGUAAGUAACUGUGCACAUCUUGACGGUACCUAAUCAGAAAGCCACGGCUAACUACGUG